rnacentral:lncRNA from 1 species
CCAGGUUUGCAAGAAGUACUCCUUAGUUUUUAAUAAAAGUAUAUACAGUACAUUAAAAACAGCUUAUUUACUACUUUUAUGCCUUUCUCCUGACUAAAUAAACAUAUUCAAAUAACAUACAUUUGUGGCUGGUUAUCAAGAACAUUAAAAAAAAAUGGAAUACAUGAAGCAGCAGAUAUUCUUUUAUGAUAUAUUACAAUGCAGCUGCUGUCGGUAGAAAUGAUAUCAUACAUAUAGUACCAGUCAAAAGUUUGGACACACCUACUCAUUCAAGUUUUUAUUUUAUUUUACUAUUUUCUACAUUGUAGAAUAAUAGUGAAGACAUCAAAACUAUGAAAUAACACAUAUGGAAUCAUGUAGUAACCAAAAAAGUAUUAAACAAAUCAAAAUACAUUUGAGAUUUGAGAUUCUUCAAACCCUUUGCCUUGAUAACAGCGUUGCACACUCUUGGCAUUCUCUCAACCAGCUUCACCUGGAAUGCUUUUCCAACAGUCUUGAAGGAGUUCCCAUAUUUGGUGAGUACUUGUUGGCUGCUUUUCUUUCACUCUGCGGGCGAACAUCCCAAACCAUCACAAUUGUGUUGAGGUCGGGUGAUUGUGGAGGCCAGGUCAUCUGAUGCAGCACUCCAUCACUCUCCUUAUUGGUAAAAUUGCCCUUACACAGCCUGGAGGUGUGUUGGGUCAUUGUCCUGUUGAAAAACAAAUAGUCUAAGUGCAAACCAGAUGGGAUGGUGUAUCGCUGCAGAAUGCUAUAGUAGCCAUGCUGGUCAAGUGUGCAUGAAUUCUAAAUAAAUCACUGACAGUGUCACCAGCAAAGCACCCCCACACCAUCACACCUCCUCCUCCAUGCUUCACGGUGGAAACCACACAUGCAGAGAUCAUCCGUUCACCUACUCUGCGUCUCACAAAGCAUGGCGGUUGGAAAAAAAAUCUAAAAUUUGGACUCAUCAGACCAAAGAACAAAUUUCCACCAGUCUAAUGUCCAUUGCUUGUGUUUCUUGGUCCAAGCAAGUCUCUUCUUAUUAUUGGUGUCCUUUAGUAAUGGUUUCUUUGCAGCAAUUUGACCAGGAAGGCCUGAUUCACACAGUCUCCUCUGAACAGUUGAUGUUGAGAUGUGUCUGUUACGUCAAUUUAUUUGGGCUGCAAUUUCUGAGGCUGGUAACUCUAAUGAAGUUCUUGAAAUGUUCCACAUUGACUGACCUUCAUGUCUUAAAGUAAUGAAGGACUGUUGUUUCUCUUUGCUUAUUUGAGCUGUUCUUGCCAUAAUAUGGACCUGGUCUUUUACCAAAUAGGGCUAUCUUCUGUAUACCACCCCUACCUUGUCACAACACAACUGACUGGCUCAAACGCAUGAAGAAGGAAAGAAAUUCCACAAAUGAAGGCAUUCCAGGUGACUGCCUCAUGAAGCUGGUUGAGAGAAUGCCAAGAGUGUGCAAAGCUGUCAUCAAGGCAAAGGGUGGCUACUUUGAAUAAUCUAAAAUAUAUUUUGAUUUGUUAAAAAAAAAUGGUUACUACAUGAUUACAUAUGUGUUAUUUCAUAGUUUGAUGUCUUCGCUAUUAUUCUACAACAUAGAAAAUAGUAAAAAAAUAAAUAAAGAAAACCCCUGGAAUGAGUAGGUGUGUCUAAACUUUUGAUUGGUACUGUAUAUUGACAAACCAGAAUUCAAUAUGAGGUGACUGGGUUUUAUAGGUUUUCCUCCAUUUUCCUCUGUGAAAUUUCAUGGAUUACCCAGAUACUCUGCAGACAAGAAAAAAUAACAGAGAUCCCUUUUCAGUUAAUUGCAUCGACUGCAGGCAGCAAGCUUUUUGUUAAACAUUUCUCUCAUAUCCAUGCCUCAAUGGCUUGCUCCCUUACAUAAUUUAAUUUACAAUUCAUAAUUUACAAUUCAUAAACUUAACCCCCUAUUAAGAUGUUUAGGGAAUCUUUACAAUCAACAGAUUUACCACAGAAUUGAAGUUUCUAUAUCUUAACUCCUUUUCUUUUUAAUUUUUUUAACAAAUGUUUUAUUUAUUAACUCAUCCACCCUCUUCAGAGGACAAAUAUCUUUGUUUUUUUAUAGCUUUUCUGCUACAUAUACAGUUGAAGUCGGAAGUUUACAUACACUUAGGUUGGAGUCAUUAAAACUCGUUUUUUCAACCACUUCACACAUUUUUUUCCAACAAUUAUUUACCGACAGAUUAUUUCACUUAUAAUUCACUGUAUCACAAUUCCAGUGGGUCAGAAGUUUACAUACACUAAGUUUAAUGUGCCUUUUAAACAGCUUGGAAAAUUCCAGAAAAUGAUGUCAUGGCUUUAGAAGCUUCUGAUAGGCUAAUUGACAUCAUUUGAGUCAAUUGGAGGUGUACCUGUGGAUGUAUUUCAAGGCCUACCUUCAAACUCAGUGCCUCUUUGCUUGACAUCAUGGGAAAAUCAAAAUAAAUCAGCCAAGACCUCAGAAAAUAAAUUGUAGACCUCCACAAGUCUGGUUCAUCCUUGGGAGCAAUUUCCAAAUGCCUGAAGGUACCACGUUCAUCUGUACAAACAAUAGUAUGCAAGUAUAAACACCAUAGGACCACGCAGCCGUCAUACCGCUCAGGAAGGAGAUGCGUUCUGUCUCCUAGAGAUGAACGUACUUUGGUGUGAAAAGUGCAAAUCAAUCCCAGAACAACAGCAAAGGCCCUUGUGAAGAUGCUGGAGGAAACAGGUACAAAAGUACCUAUAUCCACAGUAAAACAAGUCCUAUAUCGACAUAACCUGAAAGGCCGCUCAGCAAGGAAGAAGCCACUGCUCCAAAACCACAAUAAAAAAGCCAGACUACGGUUUGCAACUGCACAUGGGGACAAAGAUUGUACUUUUGGAGAAAUGUCUUCUGGUCUGAUGAAACAAAAAUAGAACUGUUUGGCCAUAAUGACUAUCUUUACAUUUGGAGGAAAAAGGGGGAGGCUUGCAAGCCGAAGAACACCAUCCCAACCGUGAAGCACGGGGGUGGCAACAUCAUGUUGUGGGGGUGCUUUGCUGCAGGAGGGACUGGUGCACUUCACAAAAUAGAUGGCAUCAUGAGGGAGAAAAAUUACGUGGAUAUAUUGAUGCAACAUCUCAAGACAUCAGUCAGGAAAUUAAAGCCUGGUCGCAAAUGGGUCUUCUAAAUGGACAAUGACCCCAAGCAUACUUCCAAAGUUGUGGCAAAAUGGCUUAAGGACAACAAAGUCAAGGUAUUGGAGUGGCCAUCACAAAGCCCUGACCUCAAUCCCAUCAAACAUUUGUGGGCAGAACUGAAAAAGCGUGUGCAAGCAAGCAGGUCUACAAACCUGACUCAGUUACACCAGCUCUGUCAGGAGGAAUGGGACAAAAUUCACCCAACUUAUUGUGGGAAGCUCGUGGAAGGCUACCCGAAACGUUUGACCCAAGUUAAACAAUUUAAAGGCAACGCUACCAAAUACUAAUUGAGUGUUAUGUAAACUUCUGACCCACUGGGAAUGUGAUGAAAGAAAUAAAAGUUGAAAUAAAUCAUUCUCUCUACUAUUAUUCUGACAUUUCACAUUCUUAAAAUAAUGUGGUGAUACUAACUGACCUAAGACAGGGAAUUUUUACUAGGAUUAAAUGUCAGGAAUUGUGAAAAAUGUAUUUAAAUGUAUUUGGCUAAGGUGUUUGUAAACAUCAGACUUCAACUACAUACAUUUUACAAAUACAUUUGACGUAUACAUUUUGCAUACACAUUUUACAUACGUGGUACUUUUCUAUAAAGCAGUCACAUAACAAUAAUACAUUACCAAACAAACUCUUUAAUCCCACCCCUCAGCCACUCUCAGC